UACAGAGGUCCCAAGCGUUGUUCGGAUUCAUUGGGCGUAAAGGGUGCGUAGGCGGCGCGGUAAGUCGGGUGUGAAAUCUCGGGGCUUAACUCCGAAACUGCAUUCGAUACUGCCGUGCUUGAGGACUGGAGAGAGACUGGAAUUUACGGUGUAGCGGUGAAAUGCGUAGAUAUCGUAAGGAAGACCAGUGGCGAAGGCGGGUCUCUGGACAGUUCCUGACGCUGAGGCACGAAGGCCAGGGGAGCAAACGGG
rnacentral:rRNA from 1 species